rnacentral:tRNA from 2 species
GAUAAAGAAAGGAAUUAAACCAAUGUUUACAGGACUACAGCCUGCCACCUAGCACUCGGCCACUUUACC